rnacentral:lncRNA from 1 species
AUGUUUACAAACUGCCUGAUGAUGUCUAGUGAUUGUAUGGCUCUUGCUCAUGCUGUAGGUGAGGAGGAUAAUAACCAGGAUAACAGCCAGGUGAUGGUAACAGAAACAGAGAAGGAGGAGUCGGUGUCAGACACCUCAGGUGUGCCACAAGAGCAAAGCCUGGAUGUUUGCAGUGGAAAGGGUCCAGAGGCAUCAGCAGCGAGGAGCCUGUUCCCUAACAAAUAUACAGCCCACCCACCAGGAUCUACAGGUCUAGGGAGGAGAGGGGAGUCCCAGAAGGGCAGCUGACACCCAUGUCACCUGCAGGUGUGAGGUGCCAGGGUGAAUUUGUAGCUGGCACUGACUGAAGUAUUAAAGCUUGCAAGUACCUGCCAAAAAAGUGCCACCAGCACUGUGCCAAGCACUGCUGGCUGGGGGAGCACCAAGGGGGCUGCAGCCACAGCAGGGCUCAUUCAGUGGGGUAGGAGAUGCAGGCCUUGGAGCAGCACUUGGCAACAUCAGGUUACAUGUUGGUCUCCUUGUGUGUUCCUCCAUCACAAACAGCAUCAGCGUGGCCUGCACUAAUUGCAACUAAUAAUGAGGCAGCGAGUGAGUUAAGAACAUCUUAUCUGCAGCUCUCUUCCCAGAGGUGGGCUGGCUGCUGAGGUGUCCUCCCAUGUGCCUCUCCACAGCUGCAAUCUGAGCACAUCCUUUCCUCCUUACAGGAGUCUGUGCCUUUUGGGAGCACAUGGACAAGGCACCUGUGUAUGUGUGAUGGUACUUAACCCAAAGCUCUUUCCUAAGGCACUACCUUGGCAAACUGCUUUGAUUCGAAUCCUGGAGCUGUCUACUGGCAAAGAAGUCACUUCACCUUGUGCUGGUGCCUGAUUGUAAGAGACUAAAACAAAUAGUUUAGUUGCCUGAAAAUGGUAUGGUGUUAUUCUGUUUAUGUUCCAGAAGCCUUGCUGCUCUGUGCCUCUCAGAACAGACAUCUGCCAUGGAACUAACCUUUGUGCAAAAUUAUCUGACUGGAUUCAUGAUGCUGCUGUGUAGAAAUAAGUGAUUAAUCUAUGGUGUCAAACUUCCAGGCUACAUUUAAUUUCUAAAAUAAAAUCUUGAUGUGAGAACA